UCAACGUUAGCACGGGAUAGUGGUCCACUUAGGUGAAUCUGCUUGAAUGUGUUAUGUGGCGAGUAGGAUCUAUCAGCCUUUCAAGGAUUAUGUUGGGUCCUUUUCCACAACGUUGUACAUUAAAAGUUCCUCCUAAUAGCUCUCAUUAGUUGAUGGUACUUUCCCUGCAUAUUCCAUGACCUUCUUUGAACUGCUAUGCAGUACUGAUAAAGGAGAAAAACCAUGCAGUGAACAUUU
rnacentral:snoRNA from 1 species